UUUUCUUUCAGUUCCUGAAUCAAGAUAGGGAGAGAGAUAGAGACCGGGAGAUGGAGAAGAGAAACACGGAGUGUUAGAUCGAGAGAUUUAUGGAACGCUAGAGUAAUUGCGACUGUGUGUUUUCGCGAUUGUCGUUCAAGGAUGAAGAAAUCGACGAACAUGAUGCAGAAGAAAUUGAAGCUCUAGUUCUGCCACAGAGAAGAAAAAUGUUUUAUCGAAUGCGAAAUGAUUGGAGAAGCAUAUGUAUGGGCUUGGAAAGUAGGUUCCUACUGGGAAAGUUAUCUGGGAAGAUCAAUCUUUUGGAGGCUAGAAUCAAUCAGAAGUACUUGAUAAGAAUUAGCGGUUCGAUUAACGCGACUUAAGCAGCGGCGCAGUUGUUUUUUUUGAAGAUUUUGAGUAGUAAUCAAGACUAAUGUUAGAAGCUUAUAACAAAAAAAAAAACACCAAUGUUAUGCUUAUUUGAAAGAUUCCUACAUCCAAGAAUUCGCAGUUUCAGCAUAAGUAGUCCAAGAAAAAAAAAAUCAAUAUGCCACUUUGUCGUAUGAUAAAACAUCAGGCCCUUCCUGUGGUGCUUUUUAUGUAUUAUUGGCUUUGUUUUUGUACUGUGAUGCGAGGUUAGUGAGAAAUGAUGCUGGAUACUUGAUUGGAGAAGUACAACUGUUUUUGUACUGUGAUGGGAGAUGCUUAGUGCGAUGAUUGUUUUGCAUUUUGUUUAAUUAUCAUGGCUUUAUCAUUUUCGUACGGAUUUUGCCCAUAACUCAAAACAAAUGUUUGUCUUUUCGAAAUAUGAAUGGAUGUGCCACUCUAUUUUACA